rnacentral:rRNA from 1 species
UACGGGGGGGGCAAGCGUUGUUCGGAAUUACUGGGCGUAAAGGGCUCGUAGGUGGCCAACUAAGUCGGACGUGAAAUCCCUCAGCUUAACUGGGGAACUGCGUCCGAUACUGGAUGGCUCGAGUUUGGGAGAGGGAUGCGGAAUUCCAGGUGUAGCGGUGAAAUGCGUAGAUAUCGGGAGGAACACCAGUGGCGAAGGCGGCUACCUGGCCCACUCUUGACGCUGAGGCGCGAAAGCUAGGGGAGCAAACGGG